rnacentral:rRNA from 1 species
AUGUGUAAAUUACACGAAAUUAUGUGAGCUAAUUAAUAUUGUGUAUUAUGUAGCAUAAUAAUUACUUGAAUUUUAAUUAGGGGUGAUAGGCCUCUCAAACGUAAGAUAUCUUGAUUCUUAUGAUAUGUAGUAGUACAAAGACAAUUUAGGAGUUAUAAGGCUCUUAAAGAUAAUCAAUUAGAAUUAUAAUAAUGAGUUGGUUUAAUAGCCUGCAUUUUAUUAUAUUAAUAUUAAUUAUAAGUAGAUUAUUUAAAUUAAUAAGAUUCGAGUAAUUUCAAAGUAGGAUAAUAAUGUUUUCAUAAGUAUUAAGAAAUUAUUAAUAGUGAAUUCGGCAUUUUGCUUUCAACUGUUUACCAAAAACAUAGCCGCAUGUAAAUACAUCCGGUAUUUUCUGCUCAAUGAUAAUUAAAUAGCCGCAGUACCCUGACUGUGCAAAGGUAGCGUAAUCAUUUGUCUCUUAAUUGGAGUCGCGUAUGAAAGAAUAAAUGGGGGCAAUCUUUACCAUUAAUAAAGUAAAAAAUUACUUAGUGGGUGCAAAUACCCACAUAUAACUAAUAGACGAGAAGACCCUAGAAAUUUGUAUAAACGUUUUGUUGGGGCAACAUGGUAGCAAGUUAAUCUACUUUAUAUAUAUGACAAGUUUUAGAUAAAUUAAAUUACUCUAGGGAUAACAGCAUAAUCUAUAAAUGUUUGUGACCUCGAUGUUGGAUUAGGGAGUUGUUGUUUAGA